AGCUUGCUGCUUUGCUGACGAGUGGCGGACGGGUGAGUAAUGUCUGGGAAACUGCCUGAUGGAGGGGGAUAACUACUGGAAACGGUAGCUAAUACCGCAUAACGUCGCAAGACCAAAGAGGGGGACCUUCGGGCCUCUUGCCAUCGGAUGUGCCCAGAUGGGAUUAGCUAGUAGGUGGGGUAACGGCUCACCUAGGCGACGAUCCCUAGCUGGUCUGAGAGGAUGACCAGCCACACUGGAACUGAGACACGGUCCAGACUCCUACGGGAGGCAGCAGUGGGGAAUAUUGCACAAUGGGCGCAAGCCUGAUGCAGCCAUGCCGCGUGUAUGAAGAAGGCCUUCGGGUUGUAAAGUACUUUCAGCGGGGAGGAAGGUGUUGUGGUUAAUAACCACAGCAAUUGACGUUACCCGCAGAAGAAGCACCGGCUAACUCCGUGCCAGCAGCCGCGGUAAUACGGAGGGUGCAAGCGUUAAUCGGAAUUACUGGGCGUAAAGCGCACGCAGGCGGUCUGUCAAGUCGGAUGUGAAAUCCCCGGGCUCAACCUGGGAACUGCAUUCGAAACUGGCAGGCUAGAGUCUUGUAGAGGGGGGUAGAAUUCCAGG
rnacentral:rRNA from 1 species